UACAGAGGUCUCAAGCGUUGUCCGGAAUCAUUGGGCGUAAAGAGCGUGUAGGCGGCCCGGUAAGUCCGCUGUAAAAGUCAAAGGCUCAACCUUUGAAUGUCAGUGGAUACUGCCGGGCUAGAGUCCGGAAGAGGCGAGUGGAACUCCUGGUGUAGCGGUGGAAUGCGCAGAUAUCAGGAAGAACACCAACGGCGAAGGCAGCUCGCUGGGACGGUACUGACGCUGAGACGCGAAAGCCAGGGGAGCGAACGGG
rnacentral:rRNA from 1 species